CCCAGCCCAGAAAGGCAGGAAUAGAAACAGGGGUUAUUUCUGGCCCCUCACCACCGCCCAGCCCAGCGCCAGGCUGCUCAGCUUCUCGUCCAGGUGCAGAGGGUCCUCAUGGUGGUGCAGUGCGCAUGCCUCGAAGCUGACACUGGACAUCCAGCUGACUUCUGCUGACUCAAAAUUUUAAAA